UUUUGUCUUUUGCUUAUGUAUAUUUAUUUAUAUAUUUAUUUUAUAUUAUUCCAUCUUUUAUCGCCAUCUUCUUCCUCCCGGACGACCGAUCGAAAAACGAAAAGAGAAGAAAGCUACGGCGGCCUUUCAUGGCAGUCACCCCAUCUUUAAUUGCUUCCAAAUUUUGACCACCCAUCAGAAAUUACUUAUACCAAAUUGAAACCCACACUACCAGGAACCCAUAGCCGUGUCUAUCUUGCCAUGGAAUGGCCUAGCUCGUCGGAAAGCCAUGGAAAUCGGUGAAGUGUGCAUUUGCCGAUCACCAUCUUCUGGUGGUCCUUUCCCACAAAUUCGGACCCCUAAGUCCAUUUCCAGGCUUAGAUUGGCUCAAAACUCGCUGGUUCAGGAGAUAUGACAAAACCCAUUUCGACAGCAAGGUCCCGGCCAGAUUCCGACUACCUCCGGCGACGAUUGGGCUAAUUGAAGGAUCUACUGUGGAAGCCAUAUCUGAGGGCUGACAAGUGUAUUACAUUAUGAGUAUUAGACACCUCCCUCCUUGGGCGCAGGUGGCUAUUAUGGAUCAGCACGCAGGUUAUAUUCAGGAUCAUUCCCAUGAGGGUAGGCAAGGCAUAAUGCAAAGUUAGCACUAAAUGUCUCCUCCUAGGCCGUAGGAUGGUUAUUAUUACGGGUUAGUGUGCAUAUGGUUGACUAUUUAGCCAUGGUAGAUUAUUAGCAAUUGGCGCUAUUGGAAUGCCAAAAUGACCGAUUGCAGGUUUCUUUCUUAAACCUCCCUGUUGGGCUGUAUUUGGGAUGUUGAAUAUCGUUUGGCGCUAAUGAUAUAUAGUAUGGUGCAUCAAGCAUAUAUAUAUAUUUUAUAUUUUAUUAUGUUUGUAUGUAUCAUAUCAUACGGGGACGACAAUCCGACGUGAUCCAUGAAGAGCUAGCCUUGUAACUAUGUUGCCUAUAAGUUCAAGGGAUUGAAUGGCCAAUUUAGGGAACCACCCCUGAUUUGUAUUGGUAACAGGGUACUGAUGACAGUUAGAAUUAUAGAUCGCAUAGUAUGUUAGAUGGUAUUGUAUUUACCUUCGUAUGAGUGUGCAUAUUUCAUUAUAUAUUAAGGAUUUUAAAAUAUUAUUUUAUCUUAUGUUACCUUAUUUAUUCAUCAUUUGAUUUCUUAAUAAUAUUCUUAAUUGAUUUUCUUGUCA